rnacentral:lncRNA from 1 species
GGGGAUUGAAGUGGCUGCCAAAAAAAACACACAGACUGUGAAAGACACAGUGCCAGCACUACAUUUAAUGUGAUCCUAUUUUGUCCAUUUAGGAUCAAAAGCCAUAUAUUUUUCAGAAGUCAAUGUCUUUGCCACUCAUCGUACGAAAAGUGCUAACUUAUAAGUUGUGAAUUUUUGUAAUGGUGUACUGGCUGGGAUAGGUUUCCUUAAAAUGGAUUGAUCUUAAGGGAGAGCAAAAGGCUGAGACAGUAAAAUAAUUGUUAAACCACUUAAAUCAUCCCUAAGGAAAUUCUUUUUCAAGUCAAAGCGCUGUUGAAAACUUGAGUUUGAAUUGUCUAAAUGUGUGUAAUAGCAACAUUUUCUGUGAUUUAAGUUAAAAAAACAAAAAACAAAUGGCAUUUAGGUCAAUAAAAAUGACUAAAAUUGACACAUUAUUUGCCCUACCAUCCCCUCAAUUCUUCACCGUAAAAAAGUUAAAGUAUCAAGCUAAAAGAAGAGGCUAAAAACAUUAUUUAUCUGUGUGACAACUUUGAGAUUUACCUGUCAAAACCACUUUACUCCAAAAUGUUUUUUUUCAGUGGAUAAAAAAAUCUGUAUAUGAGUGCAACUUCCAAACAGAAGACAUCAAAUCACAUAUACUUCUGACAUGAUUAUAUAUGGCAUUGAGAACGAAAAAAAAAGGAAAACUUCCUCUAACCUCUGUUGCAAGAUGCUUCGAACAUAAAGUUCACGGCAAUGAUUUAUAGCUGAUCCACUUAAUGACUACCUGCCUGAUAAUGCUCCAGGUGAAUUAUUAUGCACACAUAGUUUCUAACCAUAUCACUGCUACUUAUCAAAUUAUUACUUGGCUUGCAAAAUGAACAUUGACAAGAAGAGUACCAUGAUUUGCUGCGCUGAUGAUGCCAAUGGGGAAGUAUGCAAUUAUUUAAUUGUCCUUGUCCAUCUGUAGAGGUGUAUUUAAAUACAGGAUUGCAGUUUGGAGUGCACUUAAGACUUAGUGCUCAUCGUAUUACUUUAAAGAUGGUAGAGAUUUCACAAACGUAUAUUUUACAAGGUAAAGUUAUGAGGCGUACUUUUACACUGCGCAAGAUAGCUCUUUAUGACCUGAGGAGCAGCAACCCCUCAUCCUCCUCCAUCAAUCCUUCUAGAUAAAUAAAUAAGUCCAAAAAUGAAUGAAUAAAUUAAUAAUUAUCGUUACUUUUAAAUGAAUAAUUAAAUGGUACCACUUAUUUCCUUUUUUCAUGUUGCCUUCUAUAAACAGGAACAGAACAAUUACAUCAUUUUACAACAUUAGUUUGAUUUGUCACACUGAAGUUCUCACUGAAUCUAUUCUAACUCUCAACAAUUAAUACUGGCACAAUACCCUUACUACCAAAUACAAAACAAACCAGCCCCUGCUUCAUAGACUAGCAAAAUCCUCAGCUCAUACCAUCCUCUUUUUUAACCAUGCAUUCACUAGGUGAUCAAGAAAGCCCCUUCUGAUUAAGGACCCCUCUCAACCUCUCUAGCACUCAUUUCACACUGCCACCAAAACGAUAGAACCAAGUCCUCCAAACCCAGGAAUUUUUUUUUUUUUUAAAUUCUUUAUUCCCCACAAAAACCAUCCUGAACCACAUUCAACAGACAUUACAUAUUUACUUGCUGUUUUAGCAGUCUAAUUUUAUGUGCUUUUACUACUUAUCUAUUACUUAAAAUAAGCAUGGUGACUUUGAAACCAUAUAACAUGAUACAUAUAAAUUUUGUUAAAGAAUAAAUUUAUCUCAGUCAUGAUUUGAAAAUAGUGUUGAAAAUAAAAUCCAGCUUUAAACAGAAUUUAAAGGAUUUUAUGUGAAAUUAUCCUUUAAUCCAUUUUAAAUUUUCAGUGUUUUAUACUCGCUGCAUCAAUUGUGGGCUUGAUGAUGCAUUGGAGUGGCCUAGAGGAGACUCCUGUGGAGUCAGAACUCUGGAGGAAUUAUAUGUCCCACCUGGCCCGAGCGCCACAGGAUCUAGCAGGAGGGGCCGGAAAAUGUUGCUGUGGUGAGGGAUAUCUGGGUCAUCCUGCUUCGACUGCUGCCUCCAGGGCCGUAUCAUAAAUGGAUGCUUCUGGAAAAUACAAUCAAAGGUAGGAUUUGUAAAAUAAGCUCAAAGAGAAGGGGAAAGCUAAGUGUUUGAAUACAAAAUCAAAAUACAAACUUUCAUUAUUUUUAAAUGAUGUCUUUUUUUUAGAGUCAAAUAUAUUUUAAAGCAAAGAGGGUCAAUAAAUAUUAGACAUGACAUCAUUAAAAAAAAAAAACCCAUAGAGAUAGUAUUUAUUUUUCCAAUUAAAGAAAUCGCAUUAAAAAAGAAGAGGACGAGCAGAAGUGAGCACAGCGCAGUCAUGACAUCAUCCAUUCCAUAACAAUGAUCCAUUGUGUUGUAUAGGCUGCUGCUCUCUGGCAAUGGCUGUCCAUAAGUUUUAUUUGGCAUUUUAUAGCUGUUAGAUCACAGCAGCUCAGUGCCAUACUCAGAGGUGGCCACUUGCUGAUAGUCCGCCGAGACUGCGCUGCAAAACUGAGCCAAGAGAUGGUGGGUGGGGUGGUGGUGUCGGGGUUGGGCGAGGGGAUUGAAGGGGAAUCCACUUUUGGCAAGCGUUAUUGACAGAAAGUGAGAGUGUGAGAGGGAGGGAUGAGAGAAUAUGAGAGAGAAGAAAAGAGACCACCACGGCUAGCGCAAGUCUGGGGUCUGAGCUCAGUCUCUCUGAUGCAGAGCCGGCCUUUCAUCUCCUGCACAAGGAUUUCCGUCCUAUUUCCCCGCAACAGACGCGUAAUUGCUAAAUGACAGUGGAGCGAAAUGGCUUAAUACCCUGCAAACCCUGGCUUCUCUAGAAAGGAAGAAAAAGGUCUAUUGCUGCCUCUCAUGUCAUGCUUGUUAGAAAUAGAUCCCAGGCUUUCAGAGGUGGUGUCCAGGAUGUUUGAGAUGAUUGAGGAUUUUAAAACAUUCAGUGAAAUAUUAGCAAAGAGUAUAAUGUCAUAGGGUUUCUUUUUUUUCCCUUCUUUUAUUUCUGUCCAAUCAUAAUGGCUUCUGUGUUACUUCAUACAAUUCGCAUUAGGCACCUGAGCUUAACUCUAGCGGUAAAGCUGUGUUUUAUUGCCGUAAGAAAGGAUCAGUAAAGCCUCUGGGUGAUUUUGCCAGAAAAUUGAAAAUUAUAUUUUUGACAGACUAUGACUCAACAAGGGUUUUCAGGUCCUACUCAUUAUGUUUGUGACAGUAAAAAGUAAUCUGAAAUAAAUGAGCUCAAAAUUACUGGAUGAUGACUUAUUGAAUGCUUUACAGUCCAUAUGAUAGUCAGGAUAGCCAAGAGUAAGAGUAGUGGACACAUGCAAUUUUAGCCCUGCAUUUAACCUAAUGCUAAAUACAUUUGGUUUUUAAAAUAGAGCGGAAAAAACUCUGAUGGUUCUUAAAAUGUGUGGGCAUAAUACAAAAGCCCUUCACUGAACUCCUGAAGCUGAUAGACAACAGAAUCAGACUCUAUCCACCUAUAUUCAUCAUGAGUCACUUCACUUAAAUGAAUACCUUAGAUGCAUCAAGUCUUAUUUAAUUUGAAACCAGAAACUAAAACGUCAAUAUUUUGAGUUUGAACUCUUUAAAAGAUACUUGGACUUGUGCAAAUAAAACCCUGAAAUGCAUAGAAAACAUUUUUCUAGAGGCUAAUGCUACCAUGAACUAGGGCUGCACAACAUCAGAAUAAACUAAAAUUGCAAUUUUUUUCAACCCUGUGAUAUACACUCACCGGCCACUUUAUUAGGUACACCUGUCCAACUGCUCGUUAACACUUAAUUUCUAAUCAGCCAAUCACAUGGCGGCAACUUAGUGCAUUUAGGCAUGUAGACAUGGUCAAGACAAUCUCCUGCAGUUCAAACCGAGCAUCAGUAUGGGGAAGAAAGGUGAUUUGAGUGACUUUGAACGUGGCAUGGUUGUUGGUGCCAGAAGGGCUGGUCUGAGUAUUUCAGAAACUGCUGAUCUACUGGGAUUUUCACGCACAACCAUCUCUAGGGUUUACAGAGAAUGGUCCGAAAAAGAAAAAAUAUCCAGUGAGCAGCAGUUCUGUGGGCGGAAAUGCCUUGUUGAUGCCAGAGGUCAGAGGAGAAUGGCUAGACUGGUUCGAGCUGAUAGAAAGGCAACAGUGACUCAAAUAACCACCCGUUACAACCAAGGUAGGCAGAAGAGCAUCUCUGAAUGCACAGUACGUCGAACUUUGAGGCAGAUGGGCUACAGCAGCAGAAGACCACGCCGGGUGCCACUCCUUUCAGCUAAGAACAGGAAACUGAGGCUACAAUUUGCACAAGCUCAUCGAAAUUGGACAAUAGAAGAUUGGAAAAACGUUGCCUGGUCUGAGGAGUUUCGAUUUCUGCUGCGACAUUCGGAUGGUAGGGUCAGAAUUUGGCGUCAACAACAUGAAAGCAUGGAUCCAUCCUGCCUUGUAUCAACGGUUCAGGCUGGUGGUGGUGGUGUCAUGGUGUGGGGAAUAUUUUCUUGGCACUCUUUGGGCCCCUUGGUACCAAUUGAGCAUCGUUGCAACGCCACAGCCUACCUGAGUAUUGUUGCUGACCAUGUCCAUCC